rnacentral:rRNA from 1 species
GAUUCCCCCAGUAGCGGCGAGCGAACGGGGAGGAGCCCAGAGCCUGAAUCAGUGUGUGUGUUAGUGGAAGCGUCUGGAAAGGCGCGCGAUACAGGGUGACAGCCCCGUACACAAAAAUGCACAUAUUGUGAGCUCGAUGAGUAGGGCGGGACACGUGGUAUCCUGUCUGAAUAUGGGGGGACCAUCCUCCAAGGCUAAAUACUCCUGACUGACCGAUAGUGAACCAGUACCGUGAGGGAAAGGCGAAAAGAACCCCGGCGAGGGGAGUGAAAAAGAACCUGAAACCGUGUACGUACAAGCAGUGGGAGCACGCUUAGGCGUGUGACUGCGUACCUUUUGUAUAAUGGGUCAGCGACUUAUAUUCUGUAGCAAGGUUAACCGAAUAGGGGAGCCGAAGGGAAACCGAGUCUUAACUGGGCGUUAAGUUGCAGGGUAUAGACCCGAAACCCGGUGAUCUAGCCAUGGGCAGGUUGAAGGUUGGGUAACACUAACUGGAGGACCGAACCGACUAAUGUUGAAAAAUUAGCGGAUGACUUGUGGCUGGGGGUGAAAGGCCAAUCAAACCGGGAGAUAGCUGGUUCUCCCCGAAAGCU